rnacentral:lncRNA from 1 species
AUUAAGUUCCCUCUGUAUGCAGAAUAUUGUGCAACAUGGUUAUGGGUACUACAGUGGAUGUGAGUGUGUAGACCUUGUACAAUAGAGCUUAUAGGCUAAUGAGAAGACAGGAAGAAACAACAGGAACACAUAUAGCUGGAAUGCAGAUGGGAUCUGUGCUACUUACGCUAGCCAUGGGAUGAUUAGAACAAGAUAAGAGACAUGAGGAAGACUUCUUCAAGGAGGUGCUCAAGCCAUGUUUUGGAAAAGAGAACUCAAGGUCUGGCAGGGAGAAAGGAGCAAGGUCCUCUUCUCCCUGAAGGCUGUCACAGUUCCUGUGCAGAGAGAGAGGGCACUGCAGCACCCAGGCGCUGACUGCCUUUUGUCAGUCUCAUUUGCAGGCCCCCAGCUGGAGAACCCAGGAGGAAGAGGAAAAAAGUUUUUUCCUCCUCUACACUCCCCAUGCAUGACUAAAGAGUAGGAGGAGUCAGCAAGGCAGACAUAUAUAGUACCCAGGAGGUGGACAAACAACUGCCUUGGUGGAAACUCUGUCCUUUCUGGACUUAUCCUGGUGCCACUGAGACUGUGCAGAUUUAGAUCUACAAUCCACCUGGAAUUGAUUUUUGUAUAUGGAGUGAGGUCCCACACUUACAGGGAAAGCAUCACCCGAAAGUGAGAAUGCCUAGAGGCAGGAAUCAUGGAGGCUUCCUUAACCGUCUGUCUGCAACAGCAGGUGCUAGAGAUGACACUGCAGAGUAGAGAACAAAGGAAUCUUAGUAAUUGUUCAAUCCAAUCUCCACACUUUAAAGAUGAAGAAACUGGUAUUGAGAAAAAUACACAGCUUAUCCAAGGUUGCACUGCUGGUUGGUAGCUGAGAUGAAUUUAGAACCCACAUCUGAUGACUACACCAUAUUGCUCCCAGUUUUCCUGUCUGUUCCACAUGUAAAAGUCUGACUCUUCACUUCUCCUUUGAGUAUAUAGACUUUUAACAUUUUUGUAUGUCAAGAUGGACUUUUCCUCAUACCCAGCCCCUGCCUUUUCUCCUCCCUUCAUACCUUGCAGGAUCUUUAACAGAAUUUAAAAGGAGUUUUUUGUUUUGUUUUGAUGUAUCUAAUAAAAGUCAAGGGAGGGAGAGGGCCAGUAUAAGCAAGAGUACAGUUUCCUAGUUUGUAGAUGCGGUAGUCUGAGGAAUCAGAAACACACAAAGGUUUGGAGAACUGGUACAUGCUCCCAGGUGGGAAGCCAGGACUCUUGGUAGGAUCUUGAGGACAAGGCAAAGGACAAUAAGAGAGCGAGGGGAUCCUAGAGGUGGAAUCAAGGAAGAGAAACUAGAGAGAGAAAAAGGAACUGGCUAUCCAUCCAUGAUGGAUCCUGUGUGGACUGAUGGGUGGCUUGGCAUCAUCCUUUAGUAGACUUCAUGUGGUUGAAUAAUUGGCCAAUGGAAGGAAUUUCUUUUUUGGUAACAGACUCUGUGUGUACAGUUAUGGGUCUUAAUUUAUAAUAAAAGGUUACAUUGAAAAUUGAAAAAAAAAAAAAAAAAAAAAAAA